GGUAGCGUGGCCGAGCGGUCUAAGGCGCUGGAUUUAGGCUCCAGUCUCUUCGGAGGCGAGGGUUCGAAUCCCUCCCCUGCCA
rnacentral:tRNA from 1 species